GCGACACCCCGGGCCGUGGGGCCCCGGCUCUGCCAUUGCCGGCCAGGUGCAGCCUCCUGCCGCUCCGGCGCCUGGAAGCUCAGCGCCCCGCCGCCCCUGCGGAGCCAGGCCAGCGCGGCCUCUGGGCUGGGAGAGGUCAGCGCCGACACCGGCAGCCUCCGGUGGGUGGUUGGCAGCAGGCGCCUCUCCCGGCAGUAGCUGCAGGCAAGGAAGGCCGGAGUUAGUUACAAUUAACCGUCCCCGCGUUUGCCGCUAGGAAGGAAGCUAAGGGGCAGGAGGGGGGAGUUGCCACUUCAUCUUUAAGCAACACAUUGAAAGAAAUCUUCCCUCAAGACUGCGCAGCCCACAACCUUGAUCCAGUCUUCCCAAAGAGCCACUCCCUGCACCUCUCUAUAUCCAGGUUGGAUGACAACUAAGCAGAACCCACUGAACCAUUUCCCAGAAGACUCAACAUAUCCUAAAAGGCAGACUUGCAGAGAAGCAGAUGGACACUGCAAGGGCUGGGCCCGCUCUGCUCUUUGGUGGGCUCAGGGGACAAAAGCACCUAGCAUGCAGAUGUGCCCCAGCAGAUCCUGCUGGCCAAAAGAAUCCAAUCUAAGACAUAUGGGAUGCAUGUGCAACAAGAGUGCAAUCCAUGUAGACAAUCACUCGAAGAAGAAAAACAUCAUAUAUUUUUGCAAA